GAUGAACGCUGGCGGCGUGCCUAAUACAUGCAAGUCGAGCGAACGGACGAGAAGCUUGGUUCUCUGAUGUUAGCGGCGGACGGGUGAGUAACACGUGGAUAACCUACCUAUAAGACUGGGAUAACUUCGGGAAACCGGAGCUAAUACCGGAUAAUAUUUUGAACCGCAUGGUUCAAAAGUGAAAGACGGUCUUGCUGUCACUUAUAGAUGGAUCCGCGCUGCAUUAGCUAGUUGGUAAGGUAACGGCUUACCAAGGCAACGAUGCAUAGCCGACCUGAGAGGGUGAUCGGCCACACUGGAACUGAGACACGGUCCAGACUCCUACGGGAGGCAGCAGUAGGGAAUCUUCCGCAAAGGGCGAAAGCCUGACGGAGCAACGCCGCGUGAGUGAUGAAGGUCUUCGGAUCGUAAAACUCUGUUAUUAGGGAAGAACAUAUGUGUAAGUAACUGUGCACAUCUUGACGGUACCUAAUCAGAAAGCCACGGCUAACUACGUG
rnacentral:rRNA from 1 species